CCUACGGGAGGCAGCAGUGAGGAAUAUUGGUCAAUGGACGAGAGUCUGAACCAGCCAAGUAGCGUGAAUGAUGACUCCCCUCUGGGUUGUAAACUUCUUUUAUAUGGGAAUAAAAUGUUCCACGUGUGGGAUUUUGUCUGUACAAUAUGAAGAAGGAUCGGCUAACUCCGUGCCAGCAGCCGCGGUAAUACGGAGGAUCCGAGCGUUAUCCGGAUUUAUUGGGUGUAAAGGGAGCGUAGGUGGAUUGUUAAGUCAGUUGUGAAAGUUUGCGGCUCAACCGUAAAAUUGCAGUUGAAACUGGCAGUCUUGAGUACAGUAGAGGUGGGCGGAAUUCGUGGUGUAGCGGUGAAAUGCGUAGAUAUCACGAAGAACACCGAUGGCGAAGGCAGCUCACUGGACUGCAACUGACACUGAGGCGCGAAAGUGUGGGGAUCAAACAGGAUUAGAUACCCGAGUAGUC
rnacentral:rRNA from 1 species